UCUGGAGACAGGUGCUGCAUGGCUGUCGUCAGCUCCGUGUCGUGAGAUGUUGGGUUAAGUCCCGCAACGAGCGCAACCCUUGCCUUUAGUUGCCAGCAGUUCGGCUGGGCACUCUAAAGGGACUGCCGGUGUUAAACCGGAGGAAGGUGGGGAUGACGUCAAGUCCUCAUGGCCUUUAUGACCAGGGCUACACACGUACUACAAUGGCCGAUACAAAGGGCAGCGACACUGCGAGGUGAAGCCAAUCCCGUAAAAUCGGUCUCAGUCCGGAUUGGAGUCUGCAACUCGACUCCAUGAAGUUGGAAUCGCUAGUAAUCGUGGAUCAGCAUGCCACGGUGAAUACGUUCCCGGGCCUU
rnacentral:rRNA from 1 species